ACUCCUACGGGAGGCAGCAGUGGGGAAUAUUGCACAAUGGGCGCAAGCCUGAUGCAGCCAUGCCGCGUGUGUGAAGAAGGCUCUAGGGUCGUAAAGCACUUUAAGCAGGGAGGAAAGGGUUAAGGUUAAUAGCCUUGAUCUGUGACGUUACCUGCAGAAUAAGCACCGGCUAACUCCGUGCCAGCAGCCGCGGUAAUACGGAGGGUGCAAGCGUUAAUCGGAAUUACUGGGCGUAAAGCGCGCGUAGGCGGUUUUGUAAGCUGGGUGUGAAAGCCCCGGGCUCAACCUGGGAACUGCAUUCAGAACUGCAAGACUAGAGUACGGUAGAGGGUGGUAGAAUUUCUUGUGUAGCGGAUGAAAUGCGUAGAUAUAAGAAGGAAUACCAGUGGCGAAGGCGGCCACCUGGACUGAUACUGACGCUGAGGUGCGAAAGCGUGGGGGAGCGAACAGGAUUAGAUACCCUGUAGGCUCUG
rnacentral:rRNA from 1 species